GCCAAUACGCGCUUUCGUGCCAAUGUUAGCUGACGUAUGUCGUCAUUUGCUACGACGUGUCUCCUCAUUGGUCAUGACCGUCUGGGAGGAGCGCGGGGAGGCGGAGAAACUAAGUCAAACAGAUUUAAACUAAGUUUGAACCGCCACCUCGGUUUGCUAGUACCGUGAGAAAACGUCGUUCAUGAAGAGGUCUGGAUGCUAAAACAAACUCUGGAGCUGCUUUUUUUGUGGUACAGGAUUGAGACUGGACGCUGAACACACCUGCGGCCUGAAGGUUUGCUCAUUCAGCUGCUACAGCCUGGACAGAAACAUCAGCUCUCACCUUACAAACCAAACAGGUGUCAGCACUUUGUCCACAAUUGCAGAGUCUUUGCACAAUGAAGAAGUUCUUUGAGACCAGGACUGAGGCCUCCAGGAUUCAAACUUUAACCAUUAAAUCACAAAGAGAAGAGAGAGACGUGAAGACAUCUCCAGAAGGUCUUCAGCUGCUUUCGUCCUCUCCUCCUGCAGAGACAAGAACAUGUGUUAAUCACAGAAACUAAUCAAUAAAUCUAUUUUUCCUUUCCUAAGCUGUCUUUAUUCAUUUUUGAUACCUAAUUACAAUGAAUUUAAACUAAA